GGAGAGGUGUCCGAGCGGUUGAAGGAGCACGCCUGGAAAGUGUGUAUACGUUAACAGCGUAUCGAGGGUUCGAAUCCCUCCCUCUCCG
rnacentral:tRNA from 1 species